GGUUGUCCCACAUGCAAAAUAGCUGUAACAUAGCUAGAGAGUAGCUGGCUUAAAGUAUAUAUGGCCCUGGAAAAGAGAGGUUAGUACAAAACUGAUGUCCGAUGUGAGUUGAAUAGCAGAUUGGCUGACAUAACACUAGGUUGGCAACAACCCUAUUUGGUUUAAAAUUGUAGUGAUGAGUCUUUGAGUUAACUGAUGUAAUGUGGUGUUUUACUUACAGAUCAGUAUAACAUUGACCUCUUCUAAUGCUAUCAUGUGGCCAAAG
rnacentral:lncRNA from 1 species